AUGCAGUAUUUAAGGUGGAGCAGAGGCUGGACCUUCAUGCAGUAUUUAAGGUGGAGCAGAGACCGGACCUUCAUGCAGUAUUUAAGGUGG